rnacentral:rRNA from 1 species
UAUCUCUGUAGAGUCUGCAUAUCAAUAAGCGGAGGAAAAGAAACUAACUAGGAUUCCCUUAGUAACGGCGAGUGAAGCGGGAAGAGCUCAAAUUUGAAAUCUUCAAGGUUUUACCUUGACGAAUUGUAGUUUAAAGAAGUGUUUUCUGUUGGUGUUUUGGUAAAAGUUCUUUGGAAUAGGACAUCAUAGAGGGUGAGAAUCCCGUAUUUGACCAUUACUUCCAGCGUUGUGAUACACUUUCAAAGAGUCGGAUUGUUUGGGAAUGCAGUCCAAAAUGGGUGGUAAAUUUCAUCUAAAGCUAAAUAUUGGCGAGAGACCGAUAGCGAACAAGUACCGUGAGGGAAAGAUGAAAAGAACUUUGAAAAGAGAGUUAAACAGUACGUGAAAUUGUCAAAAGGGAAGCGUUUGACACCAGUGUUGUUUUCUCGAAAAUCAAUUAAAAAGUGUUGGAUUUUGUAUUGUUAAGACCUUAUCAGCUUACUGUACUCUUUUCCUGCUCUUUUUAAUGCACUUUUCGUUUAACAAGUCAACAUCAAUUUCUCUUGUUGUAAAAGAGUCAUUGGAAGGUGGCUUUCACUUCGGUGAAAGUGUUUAUAGCCUUUGGACUUCCUGCAAUCGGAGAGACUGAGGUCUGCAGCGUAGAUCCUUCUGGGAUUAGAUUACAGUUAGAUGCUAAGUUAUAGCUUUUUCAUAGACAACUUGUUGACUAUAAUUUAAGUCAUUGUAGCUUACUCGCUGACGCUAUUUUACCUACGCUUAGGAUGUUGAAUCUGUGCGAGACUAC